GUCCUAGCCCUAAACGAUCAGGACUUGGGGUGCAUCCCGUUGGGGGUGCGUCCCGUAGCUAACGCGUUAAGUCCUGCGCCUGGGGAGUACGGUCGCAAGGCUUAAACUCAAAGGAAUUGACGGGGGCCCGCACAAGCGGUGGAACAUGUGGUUCAAUUCGACGCAACGCGAAGAACCUUACCUGGGCUUGAACCGCUACUGACCAGCGGUAGAAAUAUCGCCUUCUCGCAAGAGACAGUAGUAGAGGUGCUGCAUGGCUGUCGU
rnacentral:rRNA from 1 species